ACAUCAUAUUUGGGAAUAGGUGCUGAAAAGCAUAAUAGAGAAGCUGGUUAAAUGCCAGCACGGUCCCGCCACUGUAUGGUCGAGCGAGUCUAAAUUAAGUCACUGGGAAACUGGGAAGGCUAGAUAAGCGAUGACGCCGAGUCAGGAGAACUGCCUAUUCAACAUUCACCAUU
rnacentral:ncRNA from 23 species